GACGAACGCUGGCGGCGUGCUUAACACAUGCAAGUCGAACGCUGAAGCUUGGUGCUUGCUCUGGGUGGAUGAGUGGCGAACGGGUGAGUAAUACGUGAGUAACCUGCCCUUGACUCUGGGAUAAGCCUGGGAAACUGGGUCUAAUACUGGAUAUGACAUGCCACUGCAUGGUGGUGUGGUGAAAGGGUUUUACUGGUUUUGGAUGGGCUCACGGCCUAUCAGCUUGUUGGUGGGGUAAUGGCCUACCAAGGCGACGACGGGUAGCCGGCCUGAGAGGGUGAACGGCCACACUGGGACUGAGACACGGCCCAGACUCCUACGGGAGGCAGCAGUGGGGAAUAUUGCACAAUGGGCGGAAGCCUGAGGCAGCGACGCCGCGUGAGGGAUGACGGCCUUCGGGUUGUAAACCUCUUUCAGCACGGAAGAAGCGAGAGUGACGGUACGUGCAGAAGAAGCGCCGGCUAACUACGUG
rnacentral:rRNA from 1 species